CUGCUUAUUGUUACGGCUGAAAAAAUUUUCCUGGCUUUUUAGAAUCCUAACCUCUAUUUUGUAGAGAAGUAAAAGGAUAAUGGAAUGCUAUUAGAGCCACAGAGAAUUUCCCUCCUUUCCUUUCACCUCUUAUGAUGACAGACGACCUAUGGAUAUAAAAGUGCACUCGAUAUAUAUAUAUAUUUUAAUGAAUAAUAAAGAAAGAGAAUGUUGCCAGCUGCCCAGGAGCUCCCCAUGAUCACACCCAUAUUUCCCUACUGGAAGUGACCACUAUUUUGAUUUCUGGGAUAAUCAUCUCCUUGCUUUUCUCUGUAGUUGUAUUCCAUGUGCACCCUUCAACAGAAUGAAUUUUGUGCUCAUGGAAUCACACUGCAUGUAUGUUGUGUGUGUGGGGGAGUCUUGCAUCUUCUACUCAAUGCUAUGUGUGUGAUGUUCCUCCAAGCUGUAGCUAUUGCUCAGUCAUUCUCAAGGUUGUCCCAGUGCUGACAUGUGACUGUACCACAAUGUAUUUAUCCAGUAGGGAAUAUUUUUUGUACCCAAUGUUUACAGUACAGAACUUAUUGACGUCGAUCAGUCCAACAGAGCUCCUAUUGGAAACAAACUGAAAUGUUAUGUACGGCUCUUUGCGGAAGCCCAAUCUUGAAUCAGCCCAGCCAUCUGUGGUCCUUGGUCCACAUCCAAGCUGCUGAUGGCUGCUAGAGAAAAAUUGCACAACCGAGUGAAUUCACAUCACUGCAGAUCGUGAUCUUCAACCCUAGCUGGGCCCUCAUGAGAGUAAGCAGUUCUAAAUGGCUGAUGGCUGUCAACAGAGAAGGGGAAAUAAGUGGUCAUAUGGAAUCUGAAGACAUCCCUGGUCAUUAUGAUACCACGUAAACGGAAUUCUGUUUCUCUGCGGCUUAGGGCAAAAUAGUUGGACCAUGAUUGUUCUUCAGAGAGAAGAGGAAACUAGUUUACCAGCCUAGUGACACGAUGUGAGCUGUCGUUUUUGCCGGACCUUUGUGUUUUCUAUUGUGGAGGGAGCUCUGGAGGUCUGCAGGAUGAAAGAAUCUCAGGGUGACGUGGGCAAGCUGUCAGGAGAAGAAGACUAGGACAUGGUACCGAUCCAAACGGAGGGCCUGGGAGAGCUUGAUGGGCGGUUACGGACUUCUGGACACUUGACGCGUCCCCCUAAAUGCCUCACUUGUAACUGAAGCGCUACGCCAACAUAACAAGAAAAACACCUAGAACUUUGAACGUUUUGGUGGCUGCGGGAGGGCUGUUAUUAUUCUCAUCUUCUGGAUUUUCAGGUUCAUGUGACCACAUGAAUGUGCAGACAGUUAAAAAAAAAUUUUGUUGCAAAGAAAAGGGAAGCCUCACUCUGCAUAGAAACAUGUUUUGAGCCAUCCUUAUAAAAUGAGUUGUUGGUGCGGUGCUUCGCAUGUUGAGCUCUGCAAGGAAAUGAAUUUUAAAGAGUGACAUAAAGGCUCUCUGUUCUUUCGGCGCAGAAGUUCCUCCCAGAUGAUUUUUCAAGAUGAGUACAAGGAAAAGUGCAUAAUUAUAGCUGUCACUGGAUCAUUUCCUCCUCCAUCUUUGGGGUCUAUUGUUACACGCUCCCAUCAUGUGGACAGCUUUGAUCACGCACCAGUUUCCAAGCGCUCACGCAUCUCCGAGUUCCCCCGCCUGUCAGAGCCUGCUGCCCUCUUACCUGAUGGCGCUGUUGCCCCAUGAUCCGUCGUCCACCCUGAGCUCUGUGAGAACUGCUGAAGUUGUGAUCUAGGAAGGCUGUGCGAUGGGGAAGACUGAAACCUGUCUGUCACCCAUGCUUUGCAGAAACACAACAGAACGCACAAGGCUUGGAUUUUACAACUUGGAUUUUUAUGUGGCUUCCCAGACGGCCUUCAAGAUAUGAAAUUACUCCUCAGUCAUCUCACUGGCCUGAGGGGUGCGGCCUGCGGGUCCCCGGGCAGCCCUUGGGCUGCAUGAAUUCAGCACUAACUGAUUUCCAGGGCCGACGGGUGUGUGCACACCAGAAUGGAUUCAAUGGUGGCUUGAGCCCCAGAGCAGAGCAGAGGACGUAGGACAGCGUCCUAUAUCUGUUUGCCACCUCCCACUUGCGUUUUCUCCUGAGCGGGAAAAUUCAGGGGCUGAGGUACUGGUGGCCAGGUAAAAUCGGGACACCCAGUUACAUUUGAAUUUCAGAUACACGAGGAAGGAUGUUUUACUAUAAGUAUAUCCCACAUAUUGCUUGGAAUAUUUGGAAUGAGUAAAAAGAGUCUCUUAUCUCACCUUUCACUCUUGUAAAGCUGGAGCCUUCAUUGAAAAGUCCAUUCUGUUUAUUCUCUCACUUCGCAUGCCCUUUAGACCUACAGGGGCCAGUGAGGUGGCCAUUAGUCACAAGUGGCUAUCAAGCUCUUGAACUGUGGCUAGUCUGAGUUGUUAAGUGAGGUAGGUUUCUAAGACUUCGUAUGAAGAGAAAAAAAAGAAAGACACUUCCUCCAAAACUUUGUAUGAUGGAGAAGAAAAAAAUGGAUGGUUUCUCAUUAGUAACUUUAGUAUUGAUCGUGUGUUGAAAUGAUACUAUUUUGCACAGACUAGGCUAAAAUAUAUUAUUAAAAUUAACUUGACUUGUUUCUUUGUAAUUUUUAAUAUGGCCACCAAGUAGUUUAGAAUCACAUACGUGGCCUGCAUUAUUUUUCCGUUAGAUAAUACUGCUUUAGAGUAGGGCUGGCACGUGUUUUCUGUACAGGGCCAGACAGUAAGUAUCUCAGGCUUUUUUAGUGGAUAGAGUCUCUGUUGAAAGUUCCCUACUUUGUCCUUGUAGCCUAGACAAUAGGGUGGCUGAGAGCCAGUAAAACUAUUUAUAAAACAGGUAGCGCUUUAUUUGGCCCGUGGGUGUAGUUUGCUGAUCCCCUCUUGAGAGAUGUAGAUUGAUAACUUCUAAAUGUAGUAUCUCCAACGUCUCAGCCUCAUCGAUUUGGACAGAACAAGAACAGAUCUGUAGGUGGACAAUUUACCUUUCUCAAGAUGGCUCAACGGUUGAGUAGCAAAGUACUGACAGGGUAUUGAGUUUUUUUAAUAAAGGAGAAGAGAAACCGGGACUAUUGGCCCUGGUGUGUGGGUGCUGAUUGUAUGAAAGCCGCCUGGAUCCUUGCACAGGGAUGUGGGCGUCUCGUCGUCACCUGUCCUGCAGAGGCCAGGAGAAUCCUGCCUGCAGGUUGUGUCCUGAGUGCUGUCGAAGGAAGGGCUUGCUUCACGCAGGACCCAUUUGAAAAACAGCAGUGCCAUCCAACAGGCAGGCGUUCAAGAGAAGAAACAACAGUUACGUGGGCCUUGGUGCUGGCAAAGCGAAAGGAAUUUUUACAAAAAGCUAUUGAAGUAGUAAAUCGUUUCUCUCACCCAAUUAAAACGUUUUAUCUACCGAGAGUGUGGCAUGAGAGCAUUUGGAAGAACUGACGUCCAUGGGAUCAGAAAAUGUCCUGAAAGGUGAAAGCUGUUCAGGAUCACAUCAAACAAAACAAAACUAAACAAAACAAAAGACACCAGGACAGGUGCUGGUAUAUUUUGUGUGGGUAGGUGGGGGAAUUAGACCCCUCAGCCACGGUUUAUACAUAAACGAGGUGCUUAUGUAUUUUCUGUAUGAUGAGGGAGGUUUAGAGGUACUUCUGGAAUAAAAAGAUCACAAAUGAAAAGUGUAAUCCCAGGAAAUUGCUAAACUAAAGUUUGAUUUGUUACCUAUUUUAUGGUCUUCUUUUCCGUGUUGAGAGAAGCUGGAAAUAAUACAUGUCCUUCUCCAGUUCUGCAGUCCAUGAACUGUGCCCGUGGGUCAAUGUUUAUGCUGAAUUUCAGUUUUCGUUGUUGUUUUUCCUUUUGGU